rnacentral:RNase_P_RNA from 1 species
GGUGUGGGUCGGGCAGUUGCCCUCAUAAUUUUGAGGGAGGAAAGUCCAAACUCCGCAGGGCGGUGAGUCCCGAGCAAUCGGGAAAUCCAGUGGUCAUAACCGCUGGAGAUGGAAAGUGCCACAGAAAAGAUACCGCCUCAACCCAUUGGGUUGGGGUAAGGGUGAAAAGGUGGGGUAAGAGCCCACCGCCCCGAUAGCGAUAUCGGGGGCAGGGCAAACCCCUCAUGGAGCAAGACCAAAUAGGAGAGGACCCCUGGAUAACGGGGCCGGGGUUGCCCGCCCCGGCUUCGCCAAAGGCGAAGGACUCUCGGGUGGGUCGCAAAGAGAAAUAACUGCCUCUCCCGAACAACGGGAAAGACAGAAUUUGGCUUACAGACCCACACCAGCA